rnacentral:rRNA from 1 species
GCUAACGUCCGUCGUGAAGAGGGAAACAACCCAGACCGCCAGCUAAGGUCCCAAAGUCAUAGUUAAGUGGGAAACGAUGUGGAAAGGCCCAGACAGCCAGGAGGUUGGCUUAGAAGCAGCCAUCCUUUAAAGAAAGCGUAAUAGCUCACUGGUCGAGUCGGUCUGCGCGGAAGAUGUAACGGGGCUAAACUAUGCACCGAAGCUGCGGAUUCAUACUUUGUAUGAGUGGUAGGGGAGCGUUCUGUAAGCGGUUGAAGGUGUACCGGGAGGUAUGCUGGACGUAUCAGAAGUGCGAAUGCUGACAUGAGUAACGAUAAUGCGGGUGAAAAACCCGCACGCCGGAAGACCAAGGGUUCCUAUCCCAUGUUAAUCAGGGUAGGGUAAGUCGACCCCUAAGGCGAGGCCGAAAGGCGUAGUCGAUGGGAAACGGAUUAAUAUUUCCGUACUUGGUAUAAUUGCGAUGGGGGGACGGAGAAGGCUAAGCAAGCAUGGCGAUGGUUGUCCAUGUGAAAGUGAGUAGGGCGUUUGUUUAGGUAAAUCCGGACGAACAUUAAACCUGAGACACGAGACGAGUCACUACGGUGAUGAAGUUGCUGAUGCCAUACUUCCAGGAAAAGCCUCUAAGCUUCAGAUUAUACCGAAUCGUACCCCAAACCGACACAGGUGGUCAGGUAGAGAAUACUAAGGCGCUUGAGAGAACUCGGGUGAAGGAACUAGGCAAAAUCGUACCGUAACUUCGGGAGAAGGUACGCUCCUAUCUGUGAUGAGACUUGCUCUCUAAGCGGACGGGAGCCGCAGUGACCAGGUGGCUGGGACUGUUUAUUAAAAACACAGCACUGUGCAAAAUCGCAAGAUGACGUAUACGGUGUGACACCUGCCCGGUGCCGGAAGGUUAAUUGAUGGGGUUAUCUUCGGAGAAGCUCUUGAUCGAAGCCCCGGUAAACGGCGGCCGUAACUAUAACGGUCCUAAGGUAGCGAAAUUCCUUGUCGGGUAAGUUCCGACCUGCACGAAUGGUGUAACCAUGGCCACGCUGUCUCCACCCGAGACUCAGUGAAAUUGAAAUCGCAGUGAAGAUGCUGUGUACCCGCGGCUAGACGGAAAGACCCCGUGAACCUUUACUACAGCUUGGCACUGAACAUUGAACCUACAUGUGUAGGAUAGGUGGGAGACUUUGAAGCAGCGACGCUAGUUUUUGUGGAGUCGUCCUUGAAAUACCACCCUUGUAGUUUUGAUGUUCUAACGUUGGCCCCUGAAUCGGGGUUACGGACAGUGCCUGGUGGGUAGUUUGACUGGGGCGGUCUCCUCCCAAAGAGUAACGGAGGAGCACGAAGGUUGGCUAAGUACGGUCGGACAUCGUACGGUUAGUGCAAUGGCAUAAGCCAGCUUAACUGCGAGACAGACACGUCGAGCAGGUACGAAAGUAGGUCAUAGUGAUCCGGUGGUUCUGAAUGGAAGGGCCAUCGCUCAACGGAUAAAAGGUACUCCGGGGAUAACAGGCUGAUACCGCCCAAGAGUUCAUAUCGACGGCGGUGUUUGGCACCUCGAUGUCGGCUCAUCACAUCCUGGGGCUGAAGUCGGUCCCAAGGGUAUGGCUGUUCGCCAUUUAAAGUGGUACGCGAGCUGGGUUUAGAACGUCGUGAGACAGUUCGGUCCCUAUCUGCCGUGGGCGUUUGAGAAUUGAGAGGGGUUGCUCCUAGUACGAGAGGACCGGAGUGAACGAACCGCUGGUGUUCGGGUUGUCAUGCCAAUGGCAUUGCCCGGUAGCUACGUUCGGAACUGAUAAGCGCUGAAAGCAUCUAAGCGCGAAGCAGGCCUCGAGAUGAGUUCUCACUAGACUUUUAAAGUCUCUGAAGGGCCGUUGAAGACUACAACGUUGAUAGGCAAGAUGUGGAAGUGGUGUGAGCCAUUAAGCUAACUUGUACUAAUUACCCGUGAGGCUUAACCAU